rnacentral:rRNA from 1 species
GUGGUAAUGCCGGAUGCUCCAGUUGAUCGCAUGGUCUUCUGGGAAAGCUUUCGCGGUAUGGGAUGGGGUCGCGUCCUAUCAGCUUGACGGCGGGGUAACGGCCCACCGUGGCUUCGACGGGUAGCCGGCCUGAGAGGGCGACCGGCCACAUUGGGACUGAGAUACGGCCCAGACUCCUACGGGAGGCAGCAGUGGGGAAUAUUGCACAAUGGGCGCAAGCCUGAUGCAGCGACGCCGCGUGAGGGAUGGAGGCCUUCGGGUUGUAAACCUCUUUUAUCGGGGAGCAAGCGAGAGUGAGUUUACCCGUUGAAUAAGCACCGGCUAACUACGUGCCAGCAGCCGCGGUAAUACGUAGGGUGCAAGCGUUAUCCGGAAUUAUUGGGCGUAAAGGGCUCGUAGGCGGUUCGUCGCGUCCGGUGUGAAAGUCCAUCGCUUAACGGUGGAUCCGCGCCGGGUACGGGCGGGCUUGAGUGCGGUAGGGGAGACUGGAAUUCCCGGUGUAACGGUGGAAUGUGUAGA